rnacentral:rRNA from 1 species
UACGGUGGGUGCGAGCGUUGUCCGGAAUCACUGGGCGUAAAGGGCGCGUAGGUGGUCUGAUAAGGGUGUGGUGAAAGCCCGGGGCUCAACCCCGGGUCGGCCGUGCCGACUGUUGGACUAGAGUGCUGUAGGGGCAGGCGGAAUUCCUGGUGUAGCGGUGAAAUGCGCAGAUAUCAGGAAGAACACCAAUGGCGAAGGCAGCUCUCUGGGACGGUACUGACGCUGAGACGCGAAAGCGUGGGGAGCGAACAGG